rnacentral:piRNA from 1 species
AUGCUUGAGAAUCUUGUUGCUUUCCCAGUU